CCACAUCUGUGUUAACAUAUUUGGAACUAAACUCGGAUGUUAGGUUAAAUUUUUGUGUACAUUCUACUUCAUCCUAUCUCGAAAUUAUAUGAAAAAAAUUGAGCUGAGUUUGAACCGCGUCGGAGAAGAAAACGGGCAUAAAACGUGUUCGAUUUGAAGUAAACGCGGUGACGCUGGUUGCGUUCACGUCAUGUUCGUCUUGGUGCGAUUACAAAAUGACGGAACCAACAAGUGAUUUGUUCUUUUUCAAUUACACUCGACGAAAUAACACUGAAUUCAUCGAAAAGUGAAGACAGCGAAACAAGCAGUAGUGCGAUAACAGAGAUAACAAACGGUUCUCUCUGUGGAUGCGUUCAACCACUUGAACGUCGGGAGCGUUGAAAACAAACGCACCCAUCUAAACGCUUGUAACGUCUACAAUGCCAAGUCGAACGCAAAAUAGAAUGUACCCAAUUGUUGAUCCCGCGCUCGCCUGGCGGGUAACAUGAAGAUCAUGGGAAAAGAGGUUAGCUGAACGCAUGGACUGAACAGCUGAACAUGGAUUUGCGUCGGUCUAUCUUCGAAGGUAUCCAGCCUCGCUGCAAAGCAUGGAAGCAAAGUGAUUGGAAUUACGUGCACAUUAAUCCACUCGCUUGCAAGUUAGCGCAUUAGAAAACAUCGGUUGGCGGUCGGAAUCAUUUUGAUCGGCCCAGUAAGGCCGACUGUUCGGAAAUAAUUGAUUAAUUAUUAAAUAAUCUGCUGACUACUCGACGAUAAAAUUAUGAUUUUAUUCGUGACCAUUGAACCACUCUGUAUCAGUUUAUCGCAUUUGAUAUGCAAUCGUGAUUUCGUGAAAGAAUAAUAAAAGUUCGGUACAUUCGCAUCUAAAA